GGGCUGAGCAGCGAUUUUGCGAGGAAGGAAGGGGACCUUGUGUUUUCACUUGUUGCAGAAGCGCAGGUACAAUGCACRUCAGUCAGGCUUGGAAGAUCGCCUGUGGGCCCAAAAGCUGUGAUGUAGCUUGGCUUUGCAGCACCCCUUCUUGGAGACCACAGGCAGCUGUAGCAGAGAAGGGAACUGAACCUGCACGUUCUCAAAGCCUGGACACAAGCACUAACCACCGGACCAGCUGUGCCCAUCUGACCUAUGCUGCAGAUGACGUUGGUCAACCUUCACUGUUCAGGGGAGGAUCACGAAAUGGAUGGUGCUAUUGGCAGAUGUUUUACUCGUGGCUCUCAGGUUGGUCCAGACAUCUGUAUUGCAGCAACAUCUGUUCUGUACUUUCACAACUCACGGRGAGGGACAGAGUCGUGUUGAACAACGGAGCCCAGCAAGACUCAUUUGGCAUGCCAGGAACAUGUGCAGGAUCCUUGCUUUGAGACCUCUUCGUUUCAGAGUUAAUGGGACCACCCUGGUGCUCUCUGCUGACCCUUCCAGGAUGACACAGGAUGUAGAUGAUCUUUUUAAGGCCCUUCAACCAUAAGGGUAAUACAGUCCUAGGUAGUAAGGGUGGAGGCUACAUGAGAACACCAAGAGAACAAAAAUUCAUCCCUUGAGUCCUGAGGAGGGACUGGAGGGAUCAGCCAGCCCUUUGGCCCUGCUGGUCUACUCGUCCUUCUUUAACACCAGGCUGAAGAUGGAUGCUCUUUUUAGAUGCAGAAGACACCAGUGUCAUGUCGUUGCCUCUUUGUUGCACAUCAUCACCCCACCACGAAGGCCUCUGUCAUAGGAUCACGACCUCCUGUAUUUUGGGUGAAAUCAGCUCCCACCAGCUGGUGUGCAGAGCAGAGUGAGGCAGCCAGCUGGGACAAGGCAGCACCCACACACUGCUUGCUGGCAGAUUGGCGGAGGCGGUAGCGGUGAGCUGUAUCCUCCGGCACGACAGCUGGAUUUGGGAGAGGACAUCCAUCUGCGGCACAGCGGGCUGCCCUAGCACUAAUCCUAUUGCUCAGGUGGGAAAGACUGGAAUAGCAUGCAAUUCAGAGAUGAACUGAUUUGCUUCAAAUAUGCGCAGAUCCACAACAAAGUCCAGUUGUCUUAACGCAUAGCCCAGUGCUGAAUGUGCUGGCUAACACGGGUUUUAAAAAUGAGGCUUGUUUCUCUCUGUACUGCGUAUUUGUUCCUCAUUGUAGGGUUCAGCAUUGCUGACUCACGUAAUUUUGUUAUAAAUCUUGUGAUAUUUCAUGCCAUCUUUGACGCAAGGGUUCCUGGUGUCACGUGACUCUGUGACAAGGAGCUUUUAUUAGGGGCAAAAAUAGAAAAGUAGAUUUGUGGUCCUCAUGCUAUGAGGAAAGCAUGAAAACAUGCCCCCUAAAGGUUCAGAAAACAGCCACAGAAAAAAAUGUAUCUUUAUUAUCAUUUUUGAAAUCCCAUAAUUUUUAACCUGCUGUGAUUUUUCCUGAUGCUGGUUCACAUCUCCUGCUCUCCCCUGGGCAGCCACUGUAGCAGCUUCCAAGCUGUUCCCUGAAAUGUGGAAAUCCCCCUUACACAAACAAUGGCACUGUUAGUCUUGCUGAUUUUCUGGAAGCACAAAAACAUGUUUGUUUUCAGCCAYGACCCACUGAGGGAAUUUCCUCACUGAUUUGGAGUUUGGGAAUUUUUUUAUUUCUAUGAAAGCCAUUUUGUCAUUUUCCAAGAACCUUAAUAAACUACARUUACCG
ensembl:lncRNA